CCUACGGAGCGCAGCAGUGGGGAAUAUUGGACAAUGGGCGAAAGCCUGAUCCAGCCAUGCCGCGUGUGUGAAGAAGGCCUUCGGGUUGUAAAGCACUUUCAGUGGGGAAGAAAGCCUUGGGGCUAAUACCCUCGAGGAAGGACAUCACCCACAGAAGAAGCACCGGCUAACUCCGUGCCAGCAGCCGCGGUAAUACGGAGGGUGCGAGCGUUAAUCGGAAUUACUGGGCGUAAAGCGCGCGUAGGCGGUCUGAUAAGCCGGUUGUGAAAGCCCCGGGCUCAACCUGGGAACGGCAUCCGGAACUGUCAGGCUAGAGUGCAGGAGAGGAAGGUAGAAUUCCCGGUGUAGCGGUGAAAUGCGUAGAGAUCGGGAGGAAUACCAGUGGCGAAGGCGGCCUUCUGGACUGACACUGACGCUGAGGUGCGAAAGCGUGGGUAGCAAACAGGAUUAGAUACCCUAGUAGUC
rnacentral:rRNA from 1 species